UACGUAGGUGGCAAGCGUUGUCCGGAUUUACUGGGCGUAAAGAGCGCGCAGGCGGUCGAUCAAGUCGCUUGUGAAAGCCCCCGGCUCAACUGGGGAGGGUCACGCGAUACUGAUCGACUCGAAGGCAGGAGAGGGUAGUGGAAUUCCCGGUGUAGUGGUGAAAUGCGUAGAUAUCGGGAGGAACACCAGUGGCGAAGGCGACUACCUGGCCUGUUCUUGACGCUGAGGCGCGAAAGCGUGGGGAGCAAACAGG
rnacentral:rRNA from 1 species